UAGGGAAUCUUCGGCAAUGGACGAAAGUCUGACCGAGCAACGCCGCGUGAGUGAAGAAGGUUUUCGGAUCGUAAAACUCUGUUGUUAGAGAAGAACAAGGACGUUAGUAACUGAACGUCCCCUGACGGUAUCUAACCAGAAAGCCACGGCUAACUACGCGCCAGCAGCCGCGGUAAUACGUAGGUGGCAAGCGUUGUCCGGAUUUAUUGGGCGUAAAGCGAGCGCAGGCGGUUUCUUAAGUCUGAUGUGAAAGCCCCCGGCUCAACCGGGGAGGGUCAUUGGAAACUGGGAGACUUGAGUGCAGAAGAGGAGAGUGGAAUUCCAUGUGUAGCGGUGAAAUGCGUAGAUAUAUGGAGGAACACCAGUGGCGAAGGCGGCUCUCUGGUCUGUAACUGACGCUGAGGCUCGAAAGCGUGGGGAGCAAACAGG
rnacentral:rRNA from 1 species